AUACGUAGGGGGCGAGCGUUGUCCGGAAUGAUUGGGCGUAAAGGGCGCGUAGGCGGCCCGGUAAGUCUGGAGUGAAAGCCCUGUUUUUAAGAUGGGAAUUGCUUUGGAUACUGUCGGGCUUGAGUGCAGGAGAGGUAAGUGGAAUUCCCAGUGUAGCGGUGAAAUGCGUAGAGAUUGGGAGGAACACCAGUGGCGAAGGCGACUUUCUGGAAUGGAACGGACGCUGAGGCGCGAAAGCGUGGGGAGCAAACAGGAUUAGAUACCCUGGUAGUCCACACUGUAAACGAUGAAUGCUAGGUGUAGGGGGUAUCGACCCCUUCUGUGCCGCAGUCAACACAAUAAGCAUUCCGCCUGGGGAGUACGGCCGCAAGGUUGAAACUCAAAUGAAUUGACGGGG
rnacentral:rRNA from 1 species